UACGGAGGGUGCAAGCGUUGCUCGGAAUCACUGGGCGUAAAGCGUCCGCAGGCGGUGCGAUAAGUCGGGUGUGAAAGCCCAGGGCUCAACCCUGGAACUGCAUUCGAAACUGUCGCGCUUGAAUACGAGAGAGGAAAGCGGAAUUCCUGGUGUAGAGGUGAAAUUCGUAGAUAUCAGGAGGAACACCGGUGGCGAAAGCG
rnacentral:rRNA from 1 species